ensembl:lncRNA
AUGAGCUGGGUCCCGCUGCUCGUGCCCGGAGAUUGGGAGGCCAGACCCUGCCUGUGUCCCCAGGACCCCCUCCUGGCGCCGGUCCACACGAGCCACCGCCUCUUCCUGGAAGGCCUCACGUCAACACAGCUGCAUGCCUGCUGCGCAUGCAGGGGGCUCCCCGAGACCGCUGGGGACAGAGGUCAGGGGGGCUCCCCGAGGCCUCCGGCUGGGGACAGAGGUCAGGGGGGCUCCCCGAGGCCUCCGGCUGGGGACAGAGGUCGGCGGGGCUCCCCGAGGCCUCUGGCUGGGGAUAGAGGUCGGCGGGGCUCCCCGAGGCCGCUGGGGACAGAGGUCGGCGGGGCUCCCCGAGGCCGCUGGGGACAGAGGUCAGGGGGGCUCCCUGAGGCCUCCGGCUGGGGACAGAGGUCAUUUAAAUCCUAUCGCUCCACUUGGCCCCCUGGCUCCAGAGAAUGCUGGCAUCAGCCGUCGAAGUCACACGUGGGUCUCCUCGCCGUGCACUUGUGCCUGCCGGGGUGGGGGCGGCAGGUGCUGCGGGGGAAUCUGCCGGCUCGGGCUUCGGAGCCGAGGUGCCGGGGUCCACCGGGGUCCAUGCAGCCGGGGUGCUGGGUCCCAGGCAGGCCUCUGUGCUCUCCGGUGCGCUUCCGGAUCCGGUGCGCUUCCGGUUCCGGAAGGACCCUGGGCGCCCCAGGGGACAAGGGAACCCGUGGGCCUGUGGAAACAUAUCUGUGUGCGAUGACAGGAGACCAGAAACGGCAUUCGUGGCCUGAUCUUCACCGCGCGUGUCAUGAGCCAGAGGCUUCUUGCCCCCGUGGUGGCGCUUGAAGAUCUGGGGACAGCGCCCCGGGACAAGCUGCACUGGGUAUUUUUGGGUCCCCGGCGGCCGCCAGGCUGCGAGGAGGAGGUGUCCCCAGCAGAAUCCACGUCAGACUUGCCCUGGGCAGGAGGGCGAGGCCGGGGGUGUUUCCGGGAGAAGGGGCCCCGGAGGUUACGCUGGGGUGCAGGCUGGACACGGGGACUCCCCACCGCCCUGGGCCCGGCCGGAGCCCGUGUCCCUGUGGCUCACCUCCCCGGGGCGAGGGAGCACGAGCCCCUUGGCCCCGCCCCCCCAACAUCGGCUCACCUGCUGCGCAGUCCGGGCUGGGCCGACCGAGACCGUGGGUCUGAGGACAAGGGGGCGUUAGCGUUUUCGUGUUGGUGACGACUCCGUCUUAAAGAUCCUGUGGUCGGAGAAGACGGGACAAACAGGCAGAGAGGGACCGACGCGGGGCGUGGCUGACCACAGUGAACAGACCCCACCGACCCCCGGGUGCCCUCAGGGAUGGGACAGAAGGCCCGAGAAGACCCUCAGACCACCCCUCACGACGGAGACUCGCCACCCAGGAAGGAACCCCUGGCCCCCAGAGUCCUCGGCCAGUAAGGAGGACCAGGACCUGUGAGCGGGGACCCUCGCCCGCUGCCACCGGCGGUCCCUCCCAGUGUCCCCUCGUGACAGGGCUUCCCUGCCAUCUGUCCGAGCUCCUGCUGUCACUCCCUCCUGCCGCUGCCUCUUGGGGGCCUCUCCGCGUUCUUCGAGGCCGCGGGACGGGACCCCGGGUGCUGUGGGGAAACACCUGCAUCAACUCCUCACACAGAUUGAUCUCAAAAGUGGUUAUGCUUUCAUUUUUGUUCUUUCUUUAAUUUGGAGGCAUUUUAAAAAGAUUUUUUAAAGUUUAUUCACUUAUUUUGAGAGAGAGAGAGAACAAAUGGGGGAGGGGCAGAGAGAGAGAACGUGAGAGAGAAUCCCCAGCAGGCUCCACGCUGUCAGCACAGAGUCUGGCGCGGGGCUCGACCCCACGACCUGUGAGAUCAUGACCUGAGUCAAAAUCGAGAGUCCGACGCUCAACCGACUGAGCCCCCCAGGGGUCCCUGGAGGCAUCUAUUUUCUGACGACCUCAGGAAAAAUCAGUGUGGCAGGAUUGCCUUCCAAAGUGUGACUCUGUUUCCUGAAUAUGCCCCUCUCUGCUCCCCGGGCAGUGCCCCCGGCCUGAGGGUGAGAAGGGAAGACUCCCAGGAGCCCCUGGUCCACGGGAGACGCACCGUGUGUGCUCCCUGGCAGGUCUGUUUGUUUUUCAUGGCCUCGUGGACGGAUCAGACUGUGCCAGGGGCUACCCCCACCCACCCCGGGGCAGCGAGUCCUUCCCUGAGGGGGGUGGGGAUGGAACAUGUCCGUGUCUGCCAAGGACUUGACCCCAGACACAGACAGCAGCUGUCUGUGAAGAUGGAGCCCCCGAGGGCAGAGUCAGUGGCUGCCCCUGGAAGUUUCUAGUCCCUAGCACAGCCCCCCCCCGCCCGGCACACAGUAGGCUCUCCAAAUACACUGGAUGAACGAGUGAAUGAAUUUGGGGAGGUCCCUGGGGACAGGAUGAGGUUGUCCUCAGAUCCACGCCCGAACCAGGGGACCUGGAGGCUCCCUUCUGCCCCGAUGCUCCAAGGGGCAAGUGCACCUGUUAGAUAAAACCCUCCUCCUGCCCCGCCCCGCCCCGCCCUGCCGUGCUGGUGACAAGACCAAAUAUUUGCAGAGCCGUCUGUGGUUUCUCUGUGGUUGACAAUGGGCAACAUAGCAAACGAUGAUUUAUUUUUCUUUGCUUUAAUUGAAGUGUAAUUAACAUCCAGUGUCCGGUUGGAUUCAGGCAAACAGCACAGUGAUCCGUCACUUCCCUGCGUCACGCGGGGCCCAUGGCCGGCGCUGUUGUGGUCCCUCUGUGUCACCCCGCCCCCGCCCUCCGGCGACCACCAGUCCGUUCCCUGCAUCGAGCAGAAGGGUGUGAUCGCGGCCCUUGGACAGUGCCGGUGAUCUGGCAUGACCGUAAACGACCUACGAGCUCAUGAAUUGUUUCGUAAAUAUUUCUCCAAAACGUUUUAAAUCUUAUCGCCUUAAUUUCAUUGGAAUCACGGACUAUUUUGUCAUAGCCAAGCUUUCCACACGAUUUUGGCUUUCUCGACUGACAAAUCUCUGUGAUUAACAAGUAAAUCAAACCACACUCAGAGUAUACAAAAGGCAAAUUUCUUCGCAAAAACUCUUGCUGUUAAAAAUGGCAAAAUUAAAUUCAUUUUAUGUGCAUUUCCCCCGUUUUCUUCGAUAAUAUUCAGAUUUCCCGCUAAAAUUAAAGGCACGAUAUAAAUUACCAUCGAGGAACGUUAACAUUUCAUGUCAAAGAACACGUCCACAUCCCCUUACGCACUUCCCACGAGCGCUGUUUGCAGCCCUCGGGUCCGGGCCCCGGCAGGGCGGCGAGAACACCAGGCCGCCUUGUGUCUCCGGAAGCACAAAUGGGAAAAAGAGCGAGGAAGCGGAGAUUUGGUGCCGCUGGGAGACGCCCCGGGUUUGGGCGAGAACCGGUUGCGUCCCGGCUGCGAGUAUUGAAGGAGCGCCCGCCUCCGCCUCCGUGCAGCCCGCCGGUGUUUGUCACGGGAGGGGCACUGAGGGUGCAGGUUGGGUGACGCCAGGCGGACUCGCAGGGGACAGAGGUGUCCCUGCGACCCCUGCGGGAAUGUGUGCCUGUCUGUCUGUCAUCGCUGGGCCCUGGGAAGCACGAGUCCCGGGGAAGGGCCGCUCACCCUGCUCUGUGGGCCCUACGUUGUCUCUGGUGUUUUGAGAACGGAAGACACGUGUCCGUCUCGGGCACGGAGGGGAGCGGCCGAGCUGACACCGGCUCCGGGACUUGGAGCAUCCAGGGGAGACGGGCCGUGGCACGCGGGGGAGGGGGCUUCUUGGGGGCAGGGCUGCGCGUCACUCCUACCCGCGUCCUCGCCGGGCACGCGGAGCUGCUCAGAGCGCGGGGGCGUUGUCCCCACACAGGCCCCGUUCUCACGGCUCCCGGCUCAGCGCCAGCCUCUCAGGUCGGAGAGGACGGGUCGUGUGCGCAGGGUGUCGCGGCUCCGACCGUGGAGCCCGGGCCCCCACCUCCGGCGCGUCCGGUCCCUUAGCCCGGGGUCACCGCUGCAGCCCCAGGGUCACCGCUCUAGCCUCGGGGUCACCGCUGCAGCCCCCGGGUCACCGCUCCAGCCCCGGGGUCACUGCUGCAGCCCCGGAGUCACCGCUCCAGCCUCAGGGUCACCGCUGCAGCCCUGGGGUCACUGCUGCAGCCCCAUUCUGCUUACGGCGAGGCCCCGCAUCUCCCUGCAGCCCGGGCUGACCGGUGCGCCGCGGGGGUGCCCGUGGGCGAGGGUGCUGCCCGGCCACUUCUGCCUGCGCCCCGACUGAAGGGUCGUCAGCUCUGUGGACCCCUCACUCUGCGUGUCAGGCCAGAAGACGCCCUUUUCUUGGAGGAGGGAAUGAAUUCCCAGCACAUGGCCAGGCUGCCCUGCCUCUGGUGCGGGGGGGGGGGGGGGGGGGGCACGGGCACAGAGGCCCAGGGGCAUCGAAGGACACCUGUCCCGUCCGUCCUCUUCCCCAAACACUCAAAGUCCGAAAACUCGUUCUGGGGGUGCCUGGGGGCUCAGUCGAUUAAGUGUCUGACUCCGGCUCAGGUCAUGAUCUUACUGUUGGUGGAUUCAAACCCCAGGUCGGACUCUGUGCUGGCAGCUCAGAGCCUGGAUCCUGCUCCAAGUCUGUGUCUCCCUCUCCCUGCCCCUCCCCUGCUCACACUCUGUCUCUGUGUCUGUCUCUCUCCAAAAUAAACACUAAAAAGAAAAAGAAAAAAA